CCGUAGCUCAGUGGCAGAGCGGUCGGCUCAUAACCGAUUGGUCGUAGGUUCGAAUCCUGCCGGGCC
rnacentral:tRNA from 1 species